rnacentral:rRNA from 1 species
UACGAAGGGGGCUAGCGUUGUUCGGAAUUACUGGGCGUAAAGCGCGUGUAGGCGGGUCUUUAAGUCAGGGGUGAAAUGCCAGGGCUCAACCCUGGAACUGCCUUUGAUACUGGAGACCUUGAGUCCGGGAGAGGUGAGUGGAAUUGCGAGUGUAGAGGUGAAAUUCGUAGAUAUUCGCAAGAACACCAGUGGCGAAGGCGGCUCACUGGCCCGGAACUGACGCUGAGACGCGAAAGCGUGGGGAGCAAACAGG